rnacentral:rRNA from 1 species
GACGAACGCUGGCGGCGUGCUUAACACAUGCAAGUCGAACGGAAAGGCCCUGCUUUUGUGGGGUGCUCGAGUGGCGAACGGGGGAGUAACACGUGAGUAACCUGCCCUUGACUUUGGGAUAACUUCAGGAAACUGGGGCUAAUACCGGAUAGGAGCUGCUGCUGCAUGGUGGGGGUUGGAAAGUUUCGGCGGUAGGGGAUGGACUCGCGGGUUAUCAGCUUGUUGGUGGGGUAGUGGCUUACCAAGGCUUUGACGGGUAGCCGGCCUGAGAGGGUGGCCGGCCACAUUGGGACUGAGGGACGGACCAGACUCCUACGGGAGGCAGCAGUGGGGAAUAUUGCACAGUGGGCGGAAGCCUGAUGCAGCAACGCCGCGUGCGGGAUGACGGCCUUCGGGUUGUAAACCGCUUUCGCCUGUGACGAAGCGUGAGUGACGGUAAUGGGUAAAGAAGCACCGGCUAACUACGUG